rnacentral:rRNA from 1 species
AGUUUGAUCCUGGCUCAGGACGAACGCUGGCGGCGUGCCUAACACAUGCAAGUCGAACGAAGCUCCGACACUUGAGUUUUCGGACAAGAGUGAAGGAUGACUUAGUGGCGAACGGGUGAGUAAUGCGUGAGCAACCUGCCUUUCAGAGGGGGACAACAGCUGGAAACGGCUGCUAAUACCGCAUAACACAUCGGGGUGGCAUCACCCUGAUGUCAAAGGAGCAAUCCGCUGAGAGAUGGGCUCACGUCUGAUUAGCUAGAUGGUGGGGUAACGGCCCACCAUGGCGACGAUCAGUAGCCGGUCUGAGAGGAUGAACGGCCACAUUGGGACUGAGAUACGGCCCAGACUCCUACGGGAGGCAGCAGUGAGGAAUAUUGGUCAAUGGACGAGAGUCUGAACCAGCCAAGUAGCGUGAAGGAUGACUGCCCUAUGGGUUGUAAACUUCUUUUAUAUGGGAAUAAAGUGAGGCACGUGUGCCUUUUUGUAUGUACCGUAUGAAUAAGGAUCGGCUAACUCCGUGCCAGCAGCCGCGGUAAUACGGAGGAUCCGAGCGUUAUCCGGAUUUAUUGGGUUUAAAGGGAGCGUAGGCGGACGCUUAAGUCAGUUGUGAAAGUUUGCGACUCAACCGUAAAAUUGCAGUUGAUACUGGGUGUCUUGAGUACAGUAGAGGCAGGCGGAAUUCGUGGUGUAGCGGUGAAAUGCUUAGAUAUCACGAAGAACUCCGAUUGCGAAGGCAGCUUGCUGGACUGUAACUGACGCUGAUGCUCGAAAGUGUGGGUAUCAAACAGGAUUAGAUGCCCUGGUAGUCCACGCUGUAAACGAUGAUUAAUAGGUGUGGGGGGUUCUGACCCCUUCCGUGCCGGAGUUAACACAAUAAGUAAUCCACCUGGGGAGUACGGCCGCAAGGUUGAAACUCAAAGGAAUUGACGGGGGCCCGCACAAGCAGUGGAGUAUGUGGUUUAAUUCGAAGCAACGCGAGGAACCUUACCAGGCCUUGACAUGGUAUCAAAGGCCCUAGAGAUAGGGAGAUAGUUAUGGUACACACAGGUGGUGCAUGGUUGUCGUCAGCUCGUGUCGUGAGAUGUUGGGUUAAGUCCCGCAACGAGCGCAACCCCUAUCUUCAGUAGCCAGCGGUCAGGCCGGGCACUCUGGAGAGACUGCCAGGGAUAACCUGGAGGAAGGUGGGGACGACGUCAAAUCAUCAUGCCCCUUAUGAUCUGGGCGACACACGUGCUACAAUGGCGGUUACAGAGUGAGGCGAACCCGCGAGGGGGAGCGAACCACAAAAAGGCCGUCCCAGUUCGGACUGUAGUCUGCAACCCGACUACACGAAGCUGGAAUCGCUAGUAAUCGCGAAUCAGAAUGUCGCGGUGAAUACGUUCCCGGGUCUUGUACACACCGCCCGUCAAG